rnacentral:rRNA from 1 species
GACGAACGCUGGCGGCGUGCUUAACACAUGCAAGUCGAACGGUGAACCAGAGCUUGCUCUGGGGAUCAGUGGCGAACGGGUGAGUAACACGUGGGCAACCUGCCCCAGACUCUGGGAUAACCUCGGGAAACCGAUGCUAAUACCGGAUACGACCACUUCGGACAUCCGACGGUGGUGGAAAGUUUUUCGGUCUGGGAUGGGCCCGCGGCCUAUCAGCUAGUUGGUGGGGUAAUGGCCUACCAAGGCGACGACGGGUAGCCGGCCUGAGAGGGCGACCGGCCACACUGGAACUGAGACACGGUCCAGACUCCUACGGGAGGCAGCAGUGGGGAAUAUUGCACAAUGGGCGAAAGCCUGAUGCAGCGACGCCGCGUGAGGGACGACGGCCUUCGGGUUGUAAACCGUCUUUCCUAGCAGGACGAAGCGAAGUGACUGUACCUGCAGAAGAAGCACCGGCUAACUACGUGCCAGCAG